rnacentral:misc_RNA from 1 species
UAAUUGCGCGUCAACUUGUGAACUGCAGGACACAUGAACAUCGACAUUUCGAACGCACAUUGCGGUCCUUGGAUUCUGUUCCUGGACCACUCCUGGCUGAGGGUCGUGUCUAAUACAAAGACUGCUCGGUGUCGUCGAUGGCGAUAGAAUAACGCCGUCCGACACGUCGGAGCGAGAUGGACGUUUUACGCGUCCCGACCGUUAUUUACGAUCGGGACGCGACGCCCGAAAUCACGAAAGUGGUCCGCUAUAAUCGAAUAAUUGUUGUUCGAUUAUACGGACGAAAGCAUCGUCGUCUCGACGUGUAUAUGCGUAAAGCACGCGAAAUUGCCUUCGCUGCUGCCAUACAUGCGAUCGUCGUGUCCGAUAUUUCUGAACAUAAAAAACGGAAAUGAGACGUCUGAUCGUUUCUGUCUAUCUAUCUCGAUAGAUGGAUGGAGUGGUAGCGAGCGAGCGAGAGUGCGAUUGUUAGAUCGCGUUUACGUUCCUAAAAACACGUUUGGAUGUCGUUGCUGGAAUUAUAUUCAAAUUAUCGACCUCAGAGCAGGUGAGACUACCCGCUGAAUUUAA